UCUACCUGAACAAGAAAUGCAAACACACAAUAGAUCCUGCAAACAUAAAGGUCUGCAGGGUCUAUACGGUUGCUGAGUCAAAUAUAGACCUGACAUUCAAAUACCAAACCCUCUUAUCAAAAGCCUGAGCAAUGAAGCAAUAGCGGGGUCGCCUGGAGAGCAAUGAAAGCCUGAGGACUUUACUUCAGCCAGGAAACCAAGAGAACACCGGUGACAUUUGACUGUGGAUGCUAUUAGUCAAAUGUUUUUCAGUCUUCACAGAUUCAUCAACCUCAUCACCCUUACCAGUCUGAGCAGAAGUUGUCAGCCACCACCACCACCAGUGUCUGGACUCCAUGGGGGGAUUUAUCCUGCUGCUGCUCAGGACUGAUGUCCCUCGAUUCAUCUCCCUGUAG